GUUCAAACAUUGGUUCUCAUAUGAUCACUGAAGUUAAGCAACAUUGAACCUGGUUAGUACCUAGAUGGGUGACCACUUGGCAAUACCAGGUGGUGUA